GUCGAGCGAGAAGUUUUAGCAAUUUUCUCGUAAAGCGGCGAUUUGGUGAGGAAUACAUGGGUAACCUACCCUCGAGUGGGGAAUAACUAGCCGAAAGGUUAGCUAAUACCGCAUUUUACUCCUGGUCUGCGGAUCAGGAGAGAAAGCGAUACCGUGGGUAUCGCGCUCUUGGAUGGGCUCAUGUCCUAUCAGCUUGUUGGUGAGGUAUUUGCUCACCAAGGCUUCGUUUGGUAGCUGGUCUGAGAGGUUUAUCAGCCACACUGGCACUGCGAUUGAGAUGGCCAGACUCCUUUUGGAGGCAGCAGUAAGGAAUAUUGCGCAAUGGGCGACAGCCUGUUUCAGCGUUUCCGCGUGGGGGAUGAAGGUCUUCGGAUUGUAAACCCCCUCCGGCAGGGAAGAUGGAUUUGGUAACCGUUCGGUUUGUACCUGCAGAAGCAGCCUUUGCUAACUUCGUGCCAGCAGCCGCGGUAAUUUUAAGGUGGCAAGCGUUGUUCGGAUUUACUGGGCGUACAGGGAGCGUAGGCGGUUGGGUAAGCCCUUCGUGAAAUCUCCGGGCCUAACCCGGAAAGGGCGGAGGGGACUGCUCGGCUAGAGGAUGGGAGAGGAGCGCGGAAUUCCCGGUGUAGCGGUGAAAUGCGUAGAGAUCGGGAGGAAGGCCGGUGGCGAAGGCGGCGCUCUGGAACACUCCUGUUUCUGAGGCUCGAAAGCGUGGGGAGCAAACAGGAUUAGAUACCCUGGUAGUCCUUUCCUUAAU
rnacentral:rRNA from 1 species